rnacentral:lncRNA from 1 species
ACAACAGCCCCUACGACAGAAACGCCGACAUAAAGGCAUUUGACGACACCAAAGCCGGCGUUAAAGGACUGGUGGACUCCGGAGUCACCACCAUCCCUCGCUUAUUCAUCCACCACCGUACUCCUCCGACUGAUCAGUAUUGGAAAUGAUUUUUCAUUUUCCCGCCAAACUUCACACUCUCCAAGCUUCAAGUGAAACGGAGCGUUUCUUCCUCUCUACACCAACGACUAAAUGAAACGGAGCGUUCUGUUAAGUGAUGAAGAUAAGAACAAAACGUCAUCGUUGCACUGAUCAGAACAGCUCAUCGUCCUCUUCUCUGUUCCUCUGCAUUUCUGCAAAUUCCGUUAGAGCCUCAAGCUCACCUACUCUCUUUCAGCCAGCUACCAGCUGUGCACAUUGUCUUUUAGCUUCUCAUCACUUUGUAUAUGUACAACCUUUCUAUCAAUGAGAACGUCGAGCCAUUUCAUUUGAACACAAACGAGUUAAUAGAAGCUCGAUGUUCGUUAGGUCAUCAAGUAUGAGAUGAAACAGGGAGAGUCACCAAUGUUGAUUCCGCUACGGCAAGUCGAAUUUUGGGUAUUAGCUUAACUAUGAGUUGCGUAGUGGUUUUUCGCGGAGCCGGUAGCCCGCACAGUAGGAAAUUUCAUCGACGACUUCGUAUCAUACGACACUACCCAAUACUAUGAUAGCGAGAAUCCUGUGAUGCGCUUCCGAGCACGAAUGGCUGCACAUAACCAACUAAAGAGAUAAAAAGAAGAUUAAACGGUCCGGAGGACAGGUGGUCACGACUCAUUUCAAAUAUGAAAAACUUCCUAGUUACUACUUCAUUUGUGGUGUAAUGGGACACAUGGAGCGCACUUGCGAUAUACGAUUCGAGCAUCCAUAUGGUGAAGUGUCGAGACUAUGGGAUGUCAAGUUGGGUGCUCCAUCACGUUUAUCCACACAACCAAGAGGCGGGGCUCGCUGGCUGGUGGAGGAAAUGACGGACAAGCCAUCGAGAGGCCUCACGACCGAGCACCCUCCACGCUCCAUGGCUGAGCUAGCAGUGGCUACGCAACUGGAGGAAGACACGAUGGAGAUCAAUGGGAAAUUGAAACAGCGCCUCAUAACUGAUGAACUAGGGCAACCAGAUGAAGACAAGACCACGCAAAUGGGUGGAUAUCUCAACACACACAUUGGAACCUUGGUAGCCCCAGGAGGCUCUUCUUUGUUUCUUUCACUUUAAAGCAAUGUCGUUUAGCUGGCUUUUUCAUUAUUUCGAACUUUGCUGUUUUAUUUCUUUUCCGUUGUUUGUCCUGUUUUUUCAUUUUUGCACUCUGUCAAGUGUCUUAGUUACUGACUUUUUUAGAAUUAAUUCGUCAGGAGAGAAAGGAAAUGGGUCAUGUUAUCUUUCUGAUAACGACUUCAACUCCAUAUAUCCUCGUCUGCAAGGUUACACCUCCCAUUAAACUUAUUAAUGUUUUUGAACCUCUAUAAUCAUUUUUAAAUUAACAUUAAUAAAAUUAACCGGGUUACUGCUCUUCUCAUAAAAAAAAUAUAUUUUCAAAUGUACACGAAAUUGAACUUUUUUAGAGACUUAAAUUUAAGAUUUGUGUAAAACCAUACAAUAAAAUAAAUUAUCAUUUCCUUUUUAAAUUGACGGUAUUUUUUUUUUAUUAAAUUUUUUUUUUUAUUUUUUUUUUUUUUUUUUUUGCUGGCUCCUUCAUACAACAUCAACUAUGCAGGCCAGCAAGCUGCUCAACCAGGAGGUUUUCGACCAGGACCUCAAAAGGGCAAGAAUCUAUUUUGCACCUUCUGCAAAAUGCAAAACCACACAGUGGAUAGAUGCUUCUUCAAAAUUGGCUUUCCACCAGGAGUCACUCCCAGGCCCAUGCCACAGCAAGGACCAAGACAACAAUAUGGUCCUAGACCUUCCUAUGCUGCAAAUCAUGGAGCCUUCAAACCACAGGUUCAUGCAGCUUCACAAUCAAGUGAAGGAGGCAACAUCCAACUGACACAGGAUCAGUUCUCCCAACUUAUGAAUGCUGUGAGGCUCAAGGAUCCAGCAGCACAACCAGGCACAUCCCAAACACCAGGUUCUCAUAAGCCAACUGCACUGAUGUACUCAGCAGGCAAGUAUUGUUGUAGUAGUUUCAUGCAUUCCACACCAAAUGAAAUUAUUUGGAUUGUAGACACAGGUGCAUCAGACCAUGUAGUCAGCUCACUCAACCUAAUGGAAUCGAGCAAACAAAUUGAUGCUUUGAUGAUCACUCUGCCUACUGGACAGCAAGUCCAAGCCACUCAUUCUGGAACAGUGUUGAUUAAUGACACCUUAUCACUACAUAAUGUUCUAUAUGUGCCUGAUUUCGCAUUCAAUUUGAUAUCAGUCAGUAGACUAACAGCUCAACAACCAUUGAGACUGACUUUCUCUUCCACCCAUUGUGUGUUGCAGGACCUAUCGAGGAACACCACGAUUGGUUUAGCUGAACUGCACAAGGGACUCUACAAGCUGACAACCUGCAAACCAGUUAGUCACAUCGCCUCCACUCAACGAAAUAAGCCCUUUGAUUUAUGGCAUUACCGUCUAGGACAUGUUUCCCACCAUAGAACUCCCUUUCUUAAGAAAAUUCUCCCUAGUAUAGAAACUUUCCACUUAGCCCCCUGUGAUGUUUGUCAUUUUGCUCGUCAAAAACGUCUGUCUUUCCCUCAUAGUGUCUCCAGCACUAAAACUCCUUUUGAAUUAAUUCAUGUUGAUCUUUGGGGUCCAAACUCCUGCCCCUCAUAUGAUGGCUAUCUCUAUUUCUUAACCAUUGUUGAUGAUUUCACACGAAUGACUUGGAUCAUGAUGCUGAAACUAAAGUCAGAAGCUAGAUCAUCUCUACAAAAUUUCUGCUCCUAUGUCACAAACCAACACAAAACUAGUGUUCAACGAAUACGUAGUGAUCAAGGCAAAGAAUUUUUUAUGCCUCUCUUCUAUCAGGAAAAUGGGAUUCUCCAUGAAACAUCUUGUGUAGAAACACCUCAACAAAACAGUAAGGUUGAGAGAAAGCACCAACAAAUUUUAAACAUAGCUAGAGCUCUCAAAUUUCAAGCCAACCUUCCCUUGACUUUCUGGUCUGAUUGUGUUAAGCAUUCUGUGUUUCUAAUGAACCGUAUCCCCACUCACCUCCUUGACAAUAACACCCCCUACGAAGCCUUUCACCAUUCUAAACCCAAACUGGAAGACUUAAAAGUCUUUGGUUGCUUGUGUUAUGCAAGCACACUUGCUGGACACAGAACCAAAUUCCAGAAACGAGCUAGAAAAGGAGUCUUCAUAGGGUUCACACCUGGAAUCAAGGGUUACAAAGUCUAUGACUUAGAUUCUCACCAAACAUUUGUCUCUAGGGAUGUCAAAUUCUAUGAAAAUGUCUUUCCUUUUCACACCAGCAACAGCACCAACCAAGUCUACUCUUCCGCUGAUCAAAUGCCUUCCUUUGACCAAGACUUCACCGAUUUACCGGAUACUGGCCACUCCACCAAUCCUUCUGAUCAUCCUACACCUGAAACUGAACCACACCCUAUCAUUCAUAGUGAGGAUGAGUACAUUCCCAGCACUGAUAAUGUCAAUGAUGACGAACACAGUAAUACCAGUGACAGUGAACACAAUAUUCCUUCCCAGUCACCUGCCUCUCAAACCUCUUCUCAAUCCCCUGUCCCUCAAAAUUCUCCACACAACAGAAAAAGCACCAGACAUCACAAACCACCCUCCUACCUGCAGGAUUAUCAUUGUCAGCUCCUUGUGCAUCAAGGCAACCCCAACUGUGAUGUUUCAAAGGUAUGUCCUAAUGCACACAUAGCUGGAAAGAUAGCUCAUCCUCUCAAUACUGUCUUGUCUUAUGAUGAUAUGGAUCGUGAACAUAAACACUUUGCUUUGAGUAUAACAACAGAAAGGGAACCUAGGUCCUAUGCAGAAGCUGCCAGAGACCCUAGGUGGACUGAAGCAAUGAAUCAGGAAACAAAGGCUUUGGAGAUUAACAACACAUGGGAAGUUGUUGAUCUGCCUGAAGGAAAGAAAGAAGUUGGAAGCAAAUGGGUUUACAGAAUUAAGUAUAAAUCUGAUGGCUCAGUUGAAAGGUUCAAAGCAAGAGCAGUAGCAAAGGGGUUCACACAAGAAGAAGGGGUCGACUAUCAAGAAACUUUCUCACCAGUCGUCAAAAUGACAACCAUAAGGACCUUUCUUGCACUUGCUGCUUCAAGAGACUGGUUUGUACACCAGUUAGACGUGAACAACGCAUUUCUUCAUGGUGACCUGCAUGAAGAAGUCUACAUGAAGGUGCCUCAAGGAAUGAGAGUAAGCAGUGCACUGAAAAGACCAGUAUGCAAAUUGCUAAAAUCGCUCUAUGGUCUCAAGCAAGCAUCAAGGCAGUGGUACUGCAAGCUUUCAGACAAACUACAACAGUUAGGCUACACUCAAAGCAAAGUCGAUCACUCUCUCUUCCUGAAGAAUGGUGGUAUGUCGUUCACAGCUAUUUUGGUUUAUGUUGAUGAUUUGAUUGUGGGAGGAAACGACUUAACAGAGAUUUUGAAGUUGAAAGAGGAACUACACAGUGCAUUUAAGAUCAAAGACUUGGGUGAACUAAAGUAUUUUCUGGGAUUAGAAGUCACAAGAAGUGUGUCAGGAAUACAUUUAUCUCAAAGAAAAUACAUACUAGAACUACUGGAAGAAGCAGACAUGUUGGAGAGCAAGCCACUUGCUACCCCAAUGGACUACAAGACACAUCUGUCCUCUACAGGUGAUGAUGAAUUCCACAAUCCGGAAUUAUACAGAAGAAUAGUAGGGAAGCUGAUCUACUUAAACAAUACAAGACCAGACAUUAGCUUUGCCACUCAACAGGUGAGCCAGUUUAUGUCUAGACCCUUAAACGAUCAUUACAAGGCUGUUUCAAGGGUCCUCAGAUACUUGAAGGGAGUUCCUGCUACUGGAAUUCUUCUAUCUUCUACUUCAAAUCUUCAGUUGCAGGCUUAUAGUGAUUCAGACUGGGCAGCAUGUCCAGACACCAGAAGAUCUGUGACAGGGUUCUGUGUCUUCCUGGGAAACUCACCAAUUUCCUGGAAAAGCAAGAAACAAAGCACCAUUUCCAGAAGUUCCUGUGAGGCAGAGUAUCGUGCACUUGCUCAUACUGCUAGUGAGCUGCAGUGGCUACUCUAUCUGCUCUCAGAAUUCCAAGCAAAGCACUACCAAGCAGCAACAAUCUUCUGUGAUAACCAGUCUGCAAUGCAUGUGGCAGAGAAUGCAGUCUUCCAUGAAAGAACAAAACAUAUUGAAUUGGAUUGCCAUUUUGUUCGAGAAAAGGUCCAAUCCAAGAUAAUCAAGCUCAUCCAUGUCCCUACUGGAGUUCAGGUUGCUGAUGUUCUGACGAAAGCCCUCUCCCCAGCACCAUUCAACUACUUAAUAUCCAAGCUUGGUCUGCACAAUCUGUGCCCACCAGCUUGAGGAGGGGUAUUGGAAAUGAUUUUUCAUUUUCCCGCCAAACUUCACACUCUCCAAGCUUCAAGUGAAACGGAGCGUUUCUUCCUCUCUACACCAACGACUAAAUGAAACGGAGCGUUCUGUUAAGUGAUGAAGAUAAGAACAAAACGUCAUCGUUGCACUGAUCAGAACAGCUCAUCGUCCUCUUCUCUGUUCCUCUGCAUUUCUGCAAAUUCCGUUAGAGCCUCAAGCUCACCUACUCUCUUUCAGCCAGCUACCAGCUGUGCACAUUGUCUUUUAGCUUCUCAUCACUUUGUAUAUGUACAACCUUUCUAUCAAUGAGAACGUCGAGCCAUUUCAUUUGAACACAAACGAGUUAAUAAUCAGGAAAACGAAGACGUCGUUUCGGAUGCCAAUGUGCCGGUGAUAGACCUGUCGGUGUCAGAGGAGGAGGUGGUGGAGCAGAUCAGGGAAGCGGCGGAGACGUGGGGGUUCUUUCUGAUAGUCAACCACGGCGUGGCGGCAGAGGUCAUGG